AGUGAACGCUGGCGGUAGGCCUAACACAUGCAAGUCGAACGGCAGCACAGUAAGAGCUUGCUCUUACGGGUGGCGAGUGGCGGACGGGUGAGGAAUACAUCGGAAUCUACUUUUUCGUGGGGGAUAACGUAGGGAAACUUACGCUACUACCGCAUACGACCUACGGGUGAAAGCAGGAGAUCUUCGGACCUUGCGCGAUUGAAUGAGCCGAUGUCGGAUUAGCUAGUUGGCGGGGUAAAGGCCCACCAAGGCGACGAUCCGUAGCUGGUCUGAGAGGAUGAUCAGCCACACUGGAACUGAGACACGGUCCAGACUCCUACGGGAGGCAGCAGUGGGGAAUAUUGGACAAUGGGCGCAAGCCUGAUCCAGCCAUACCGCGUGGGUGAAGAAGGCCUUCGGGUUGUAAAGCCCUUUUGUUGGGAAAGAAAAGCAGCAGGUUAAUACCCCGCUGUUCUGACGGUACCCAAAGAAUAAGCACCGGCUAACUUCGUG
rnacentral:rRNA from 1 species